UACGUAGGGUGCGAGCGUUAAUCGGAAUUACUGGGCGUAAAGCGUGCGCAGGCGGUUUUGUAAGCCAGAUGUGAAAUCCCCGGGCUUAACCUGGGAAUGGCAUUUGGGACUGCAAGGCUGGAGUGUGGCAGAGGAGACUGGAAUUUACGGUGUAGCGGUGAAAUGCGUAGAUAUCGUAAGGAAGACCAGUGGCGAAGGCGGGUCUCUGGACAGUUCCUGACGCUGAGGCACGAAGGCCAGGGGAGCAAACGGG
rnacentral:rRNA from 1 species